rnacentral:rRNA from 1 species
AGAUUGAACGCUGGCGGCAGGCCUAACACAUGCAAGUCGAGCGGCAGCACGGGUACUUGUACCUGGUGGCGAGCGGCGGACGGGUGAGUAAUGCCUAGGAAUCUGCCUGAUAGUGGGGGAUAACGUUCGGAAACGGACGCUAAUACCGCAUACGUCCUACGGGAGAAAGUGGGGGAUCUUCGGACCUCACGCUAUCAGAUGAGCCUAGGUCGGAUUAGCUAGUUGGUAGGGUAAAGGCCUACCAAGGCUACGAUCCGUAACUGGUCUGAGAGGAUGAUCAGUCACACUGGAACUGAGACACGGUCCAGACUCCUACGGGAGCAGCAGUGGGAAUAUUGGACAAGUGGGACGAAAGCCUAGAUCCAGCAACGCCGCGUGAGGAUGACGGCCUUCGGGUUAGUAAACCUCUUUCAGCGAGGACGAAGCGAAAGUGACGU